UGGGGAAUUUUGGACAAUGGGCGAAAGCCUGAUCCAGCAAUGCCGCGUGUGUGAAGAAGGCCUUCGGGUUGUAAAGCACUUUUGUCCGGAAAGAAAUCCUUGGCUCUAAUACAGUCGGGGGAUGACGGUACCGGAAGAAUAAGCACCGGCUAACUACGUGCCAGCAGCCGCGGUAAUACGUAGGGUGCAAGCGUUAAUCGGAAUUACUGGGCGUAAAGCGUGCGCAGGCGGUUUGCUAAGACCGAUGUGAAAUCCCCGGGCUCAACCUGGGAACUGCAUUGGUGACUGGCAGGCUAGAGUAUGGCAGAGGGGGGUAGAAUUCCACGUGUAGCAGUGAAAUGCGUAGAGAUGUGGAGGAAUACCGAUGGCGAAGGCAGCCCCCUGGGCCAAUACUGACGCUCAUGCACGAAAGCGUGGGGAGCAAACAGGAUUAGAUACCCUGGUAGUCCACGCCCUAAACGAUGUCAACUAGUUGUUGGGGAUUCAUUUCCUAGUAACGUAGCUAACGCGUGAAGUUGACCGCCUGGGGAGUACGGUCGCAAGACUAAAACUCAAAGGAAUUGACGGGGUCAUAGCUGUUUCCU
rnacentral:rRNA from 1 species